UUUGCUUAUUCACUAUUAUUUUUGUUUUUACAAAUUCAGGUUUAUACUUCAUUUUGUUCUAGAAAUCACUCAUGUAUCUGUUUUGUAAGCUACUAGCUUUUGUACAGCCUUGCUGUACUUGCAACCAGAAGAAGAAUUUAUUAUAAUGCAGAUUUCCAGGCAUCUCUAUGUGAUUAUGAAAUCUAAAUGUCCAAGAAGAAAGUUUUCACUCAGACUCCAAAUGAACUGUUCCUGCAUAGUCCUCUGAGACUGAUGGCCUUCUUUGGAAUUAUACAGCGUGUUCUCAAAAAUUCUUCCUCAGCAUGCCAAAGUCCCAAGUUCACAACCACCAGGUUCUAGAUGCUACCAUGAUGCCAAUCUGAUUUCCCUGGACAGAUGACCCCACCAGUGUAUCCUGUAACCCUGCCUCCCCAGAGUCUUGCUCCACUAUGGAAAGAGAGUGACAAGCUGGGAACAUGGAUUGACUUGCCAACACCCAUGUUCAGCAGAGAAGCAAUUACAGAAGCCAGACCUUCCACCUUCAUUAUUCCAUAAUGAUCCUGGGUCUAUACUCCCAGAAUGAU